UACGUGAGGACCAAGCGUUGUUCGGAUUUACUGGGCGUAAAGGGCGCGUAGGCGGCGUGGUAAGUCACUUGUGAAAUCUCUGAGCUUAACUCAGAACGGUCAAGUGAUACUGCUGUGCUAGAGUGCGGAAGGGGCAAUCGGAAUUCUUGGUGUAGCGGUGAAAUGCGUAGAUAUCAAGAGGAACACCUGAGGUGAAGACGGGUUGCUGGGCCGACACGUGACGUGAUGCGCGAAAGCCAGGGGAGCAAACGGG
rnacentral:rRNA from 1 species